rnacentral:rRNA from 1 species
AGUAACGCGUGGGUAACCUGCCCUUAAGUCUGGGAUACCAUUUGGAAACAGAUGCUAAUACCGGAUAAAAGCUACUUUCGCAUGAAAGAAGUUUAAAAGGCGGCGUAAGCUGUCGCUAAAGGAUGGACCUGCGAUGCAUUAGCUAGUUGGUAAGGUAACGGCUUACCAAGGCGAUGAUGCAUAGCCGAGUUGAGAGACUGAUCGGCCACAUUGGGACUGAGACACGGCCCAAACUCCUACGGGAGGCAGCAGCG